rfam:Mesorhizobium sp. ORS3428 contig_89, whole genome shotgun sequence.
CAGGCAUGCUGGAGCCCCGCCAGCGGCGCCUGGCUGAAGAGGCCUGUCACCGGACGGGGCAGAA